GAUGAACGCUGACAGAAUGCUUAACACAUGCAAGUCAACUUGAAUUUGGGUUUUUAACUUAGGUUUGGGUGGCGGACGGGUGAGUAACGCGUAAAGAACUUGCCUCACAGCUAGGGACAACAUUUGGAAACGAAUGCUAAUACCUAAUAUUAUGAUAAUAGGGCAUCCUAUAAUUAUGAAAGCUAUAAGCGCUGUGAGAGAGCUUUGCGUCCCAUUAGCUAGUUGGAGAGGUAACGGCUCACCAAGGCGAUGAUGGGUAGCCGGCCUGAGAGGGUGAUCGGCCACAAGGGGACUGAGACACGGCCCUUACUCCUACGGGAGGCAGCAGUGGGGGAUAUUGGACAAUGGACCGAGAGUCUGAUCCAGCAAUUCUGUGUGCACGAUGAAGUUUUUCGGAAUGUAAAGUGCUUUCAGUUGGGAAGAAACAAAUGACGGUACCAACAGAAGAAGUGACGGCUAAAUACGUG
rnacentral:rRNA from 1 species